rnacentral:lncRNA from 1 species
AUCCCAUCUAUGCAUUAAUUUGUUUUAUAUAUGUAUUUUAAGUAUUAUUUUGCAAAUAAUUUUCAUUUGAGAUACAAAAUAAAAACAUAAUGUAAUUGAGAAUUAUCAUAUUAGUAAAACAUUGUAAAGUGAGGUAUGCUUGGCACAAAUAGAGGAGCUACUGAUAGUUGAAGAUAUCUUAAUCAGACUGGGAGACCGAGAGAUUGAAAAGCAAAAAUUAAGAUAGUUAUAUAUCUGCGGGAAGAAGAAGGGACUGAGCCAACUAUAAGGAGCAUGAGACCUGUAGCCACUGUGACAUCCAACUCCUUAGGCAGGCACUCCAAAGACUGAGGGAGAACAAUUACACCAUCACAAGAGAGGGCAAAAUGAGGAAAAUGGUCCUAUUGGAAAGGGAGAAGUACAACCAUUUCCUGGAAGAUUACAUCAAGACAACACAACCCAGGCUAGUGCUUAACCCUACAAUUGCCGCACUAAUUAUGGUGACAUUGCCGCAGCAAUUAGCAUUAAUUAUUAAUGAGUUUAUAAAUUAUCAAUCUGUCGCGAUAGAAUUCGAUUUACACUUGUAUUAUAUACCAUUACAAUCCUC